UCAAAACCGCUUUCCUUAAUGGAAAGUUGGCUGAAGAUGUUUACAUGAGUCAGCCAGAGGGUUUUGUCAGCAACGAGUACCCUAAUAGAGUGUGUAAGCUUGAGAAAUCCAUUUAUGGAUUGAAGCAAGCACCUCGCAGAUGGAAUCUUUGCUUUGAUGAAAAGGUCAAGGAAUUUGGCUUUUCUAGGAGUGAAGAUGAAUCUUGUGUGUAUGUCAAGGCUAGUGGGAGUAUAGUUAGCUUUUUGGUAUUGUAUGUGGAUGACAUACUACUCAUAGGAAACGACAUUCCAACCCUGCAGGAAGUAAAGUCCUGGCUUGGGAAGUGUUUCGCUAUGAAGGACCUUGGUGAAGCUGCCUAUAUUCUAGGGAUAAGAAUCUUGAGAGAUCGGAGUAAAAGACUAAUUGGACUUAGUCAGAGUACCUACUUGGAUAAGGUGCUGAAGAGAUUCAGCAUGCAGGAUUCCAAGAAAGGAGAGUUACCCAUCCAGAGUAACACCAGAUUGAGUAAGACACAAAGCCCUAGCACUGAGGCUGAGAUAGCAGAAAUGAGUCGAACACCUUACGCUUCGGCUGUAGGAUCGAUCAUGUAUGCUAUGACGUGUACUCGACCCGAUGUAGCUUUUGCCUUGAGCAUGGUUAGCAGGUAUCAGGCGAACCCUGGCAAGGCACACUGGACUGCGGUAAAGAAUAUCCUCAAGUACCUACGGAGGACUAAGGACUGGGUCCUUACCCUCGGUGGGAGUGAUGACUUGAGAGUUGUAGGGUAUAGUGAUGCUAGCUUCCAGACUGAUAGGGAUAAUUUCCGCUCUCAGUCAGGCUGGGACUUUACCCUAAACGGAGGAGCAAUUUCUUGGAAGAGUUCCAAGCAAGAGACAGUGGUUGAUUCAACUUGCGAAUCAGAGUAUAUUGCAGCUGGCGAGGUAGCAAAGGAGGCAAUAUGGCUGAAGAACAUCAUUAGAGACCUUGGAGUUGUACUAGCUAUUAAAGAGCCAAUGGAAAUUUUCUGUGAUAGUGAAAGUGUUGUUGCCUUAGCCAAGGAACCAAGGGAUCACGGGAGAUCCAGACACAUCGACAGAAAAUACCAUUUCAUUAGACAUCGGAUCGAAGAAGGACUCCUCGUGGCAAAGAGGGUAUCAUCGGAUGAGAACCCAGCAGAUCCCCUCACGAAGGGACUGAGUAGGGUUAAGCAUCUCCAGCAUGCUCGGAGCAUAGGGCUGAAGGAUGAUAUAAGUUUUAGUAGUUAGAUAACCCAGAAAUUUGUAAAGUGUAAUUGACAUUUGAUGAUGAAUAAAAGGUGUUUUAUUUAUGAGUAAAGUGUUGCUAUCUCUUGUCAAUCGUUUACUAUAUUUCUUUUGCAUGUUUUGACUUCCAGAAUAAUUUUGUUUGGUGUAACAUAUUAUUCAAACCUCCACAGUCGGUCAUAUGUCGGAAGUAGGUAUGAAUCAAGACUGUCAUGAUGGGUUGUAGAGGUCCAAGGUGUUNGUGUUGGACAUGGCUACAACAAUCAUGAGUGCUCAUAAGUUCUGAGCAUUGGACUCAACCCAGACUCACUGGAAUCACUUCAUGGAAUUUAUCUCGCGUGAUCAUGAGACGGUAAUAUCAUAUAAGUCUUCAAACCUAGAGAUACGAUUUGUUACUUACGAGUUGGUUAUGCAUUGAUUGUACGAAACCGCAUUGGUAACUCGAUGUUAUAAAACGUACUUUUGUGUGUAAUUCAAUGAGUGGUAGAACAAACAUAUGAGUCGAAGUUUAUCUGUUCCUUCUUGGAUUAGAAGCUGAUAUCUGGGCCCCUCGAUGAUUUUGUUUUGACCCAUGUACCGGGCCCGGUCAGAACUAAGUUGAUGUGUUCAAUUAAGUUCUAUGUCAAACAAAUCGGAAAUCGGGAAACAAAUGCUGGACAAUNUGAUAUCUAGAACAGAGGAUUAUAUGAUCACUUAACUUAAAUGGCGUAUCAUCAUCUUCUCAGUUCCGAGAGACCUUGAAAGAGCUAUAAUUGCCAUUCGGUUCCUGAAGUAUUACAGUUAUAGUUAUUAGACUUAUCCAAGUGGGAGACUGUUGGAUAAGGUGUCUAAGUCCAUAACUAUUUAUGGUAUGUACUUGACCCAACCCGACAUGGUCCAUUUGGGUUGCAUGGCACCAUGCAAUUGGAUAGAAUAAAUGAGAGAAAUAACACUUGGGAAUUAUUAGUAUAUUAUAAGUUCUAAUAUAUUAAUAAUAUUAUUUAAUUAGUUUGAUCAAGAAUUAAUUUAGAAUUAAUUAAGUGAUUAAAAGAUAACUAAUUAAAUAUAUGGGUUGAUUAUGUAAAUCAUCCAUAACUUGUAUAGUGGGCUAAGAGGCUCCAUGAAUUAUCAAGUUGGGUUCCACCCAUAGGGUGCUCCAUGGGUGUUACAAACCCAUGGGUCAUGGAAAUGAAGAUUCAUGACACAUUAGGGUUUACAUGGUGUAACCCUAGUUGUGUCAACACUAUAUAAGAAACCCAUUCUCCACCAAAAUCGGCUACACAUAUGAAAGAAGAGGGCUAGGCCGAUUUUGGAAGUGUGUAUUCUCUCUAAAGUCAUUCCAAAACCAUUUGGUGUUGUGUGAAGCAUUUGAGGCAUCAUACUUGGGGUGCUAGGCUCACAAGGUUUCAAGGAUCAUAAGCAACAACAAGGUAGGUUAUUCUAUCUUUCAUUCAAGUUAAAAAUUGUUCCCCAUGUAUGCUAGAUAGGAAUAUAACCUUGGAAUUCAACUUUGCAUGAUAAUUAGACCAACAUAGAUCCAAUGUUAUUAGGGUUGCAAGUACACGUAGGAAGUGUUAGAAUGCUCAAAACACAUCACGAUGUGCGUAGCUUAUAGAAGGUUAUGCGUGCGGUGUAUGUGCGUGCAAUGAAUUUCUGAAUUUCAAAAUUGCAAAACUUCUUCAUACGAACUUCAUUUUUGAUGUUCUUUAUAUCCAUGGAAAGUACUCGACAAGAUUUACAACUAUCAUUUAGACUUCGUUGGCUAAUUUUGACUUUAUUUAUUUUACACAAGCUUAGACUAUUAAAUCUCAUAUAAAAUGCAUAACUUUCUCAUCUGGCGUUCAUUUUUAUUGUCUUUAUAUCGUUGAACUCCUAUUAAUGAGAUCUUCAAUUCUUAUUUAGAUCAUUUAUGUUAAAAAUCAACCGAUCUAAAAUUCGACUUCUAAGAUGUAUAUUACUACGCUGAAUCUUAGAAAAAUCAUAACUUCCCUUAAUGAAUUCCGAUUUAGACGUUCUUUAUAUGCAUGCUCUCAGUUUAACGAUUAAUAUAACUUCCGUCUAGAUCACUAAGGCUAAAAAGUAACUUAACAAUAAUUUACUUUUUACAAUGCGCAUUGACAUAUUGGAUCGAAUUGCGAAUCUUCAAAUGCUCAUAAGUUCUUCGUUGUAAGUCCGGUUUAAGCGUUCUUUAUACAUCCAGAAUCCUCAUUACGACUACUUCAACUUUCAUCAAGGAUAUUCAACCUAAUUAUUAUUCUAUUUCAGACGUGUAUAUUAUUCCUAUUUUAUUAUAUUGUUAUAGACACACAUACAAAUAAGUACACAUGUAACACAUAAUAUUCAAAUAAUUUUCCUUUAUUACCUCAAAUAGGUUACAAUUGUUGACCAUAACUAUUAUAUCAUAUUAUUAAUUCCUAGCGGGAAACACGAGUGUUACAAUUCUCUCCCCUUUAGGAUGAUUCCACCCUAGGAAUCAUGCUAUGCAAAUAGAUGUAUAUAGCGACUCUUCAUCUCGUAUUAUGUCUCCCAAGUGAGGUUCAGACCAUUCAAAUGUUUCCAUCAUACAAGCAAUAAAUCGAUCAUCUUACGUCGUAACUUCUUUUACGGUCAACAAUCACUUCAGGCUCUUUGAUUAACCUUUUUUCUUCAUCAAUCCUUAUCUCUGAAAGUGCGAUUGUAUCGAGUACUUCUCUCGCGAACUUCCUCAUAUAACACACGUGGAAAGUGUUAUGAAUGCCAUCCAAUUCUUCUAGAAAUUCCAACUUGUAAUCUUGGUUCUCAACUUUCUAAAGAACUUUAAAUGGCCCAAUAAAUCUUGGAAUCAGCCUCCCUCUCUUUCUAAAUCUUAUAAGUCCCUUCCAUGGAGAGACUUUGAGUAACACCAAAUCUCCAACUUCAAAAGUCAUUAGUUGUUGCUUCUUGUCAGCAUAACUCUUUUGACGAUCUUGAGCUGCUAACAUCCUUUCUGUAAUUACCUUUAGCUUUCUAGCAGUCUGAUGGACUAUAACUGGUCCCAUGAACUGCUUUUCUCUAGCUUCAAGACAAAAAGACGUUGUACGACACUUCUAUCCGUACAGGGCUUUAUAAGGUGUCAUCAUAGUGCUCAAAUGAUAACUAUUUUUGUAGGAAAACUCUACUUGGAGUAGAUGCUCAUCCUAGUUACCUUGGAAUUCUAGGGUGCAUUUUCUCAACACAUCUUCCAUUGUUUGAAUUCCUUUCACUCUGACCAUCAGUCUGUGGAUGGUAGGUUGUACUCAAACACAACUUUUUUUUUUCCAUAUCUUCUUGUAGUCUCUUCCAAAAUCUUGAGGUGAAACGACUGUCACGAUCCACGAUUACCCAAAUCCUGUUGUGACCACUCUUUCUCCUAGGUAUUUUAGUCACAAAAUCGAUAAUAAUGUCCUACCAUUUACCCAUGGGCACCGGUAAGGCCUCGAAACUCCCAUACGGUUUCUAAUGUUGCACCUUAAAUCUUGCGCAUGUUACACUCAAUCACAUACUUAGCAACAUCGAGCUUCAUCGACGGCCACCAAUAGUAAGGUUUCAGAUCCCUAUACAUCUUGGUACUGUCGGGAUGAAUCGAGUACAUGGUCUUUUGGGCUUCUUCUAUGAGAAGAUCUCUCAUUCCUCCCAUCUAAGGCACCCAAAUCUUAUUAUGGAAUACCUUUAAUCCUUCACUGUUUAUACCGAAUUCCAAUGUUUUGCCUAAAGGCUCUUCUUUUCAAUUAUCUCCUUCCAAAGCUUCCUCCUGAGCUUUCUUAAUACUUUCUACAAUUUUUGAGACAAUCUAAAUUCUUAACGCCCUUGGCUUCUUUCUUUCUAGAGUUAUCUUUUUACUCAAAGAAUCUGCUACGAUAUUGGCUUUACCAGUGUGGUAAAGUAUCUCGCAUUCAUAAUCCUUGAGUAAUUCUAGUCAUCGUCGUUGUCUCAUAUUCAACACCUUUUGAUCGAAAAGAUACUGGAGACUCUUAUGAUCAUUGUACAACUUACACUUCAUGUCGUAAAGAUAAUACCUCCAUAUCUUUAAUGCAAACACUAUCGUUGCCAACUCUAGAUCAUGAGUGGGGUAGUUCUUCUCGUUUUCCUGGAGUUUUCAAGAUGUAUAUGCUAUUACUUUAUCUCUCUGGGCCAAAACACAUCCUAAACCAACUCCAGACGCAUCACUAUAAACUGUGAUGUCUUCAACUACGUCUGGUAAAGAAAGAAUAUGUGCUUCACACAACUUCUUCUUUAAUUACUCGAAAGCUUUUGCAUGCUUCUCACUCCAUGUAUAUGUAGCCCCUUUAUGUGUAAAAGUUGUUAAUGGUGCAGCAAUCGAGGAAAAGCCUUGGAUAAACCUUUUGUAAUAUCCAGAUAAUCCAAGAAAGCUUCAAAUCUUGAUGGGACUUAUUGGUCAUUUCCACUUCAUCACAACUUUAAUCUUUGUUGGUUCAACCAUUAUUCCUUAUUAUUUAACCACAUAACCCAAGAAUUGGACUUCAUGAAUCCAAAAAUCACACUUGGAGAACUUUGUGUACAACUUCUCCUUCUUGAGAACUUCUAACACAUCUCUUAAGUGAUUUUCAUGCUAUUUAUGGCUCUUUGAAUAUAUGAGAAUGUCAUAGAUAAACACUAUUAUGGAUUUGAGUAGGAAAGGUUUACAGACCACAUACAUCAAAUCCAUAAAUGUUGCUAGGGCAAUUGUUAGUCCGAACGACAUAACCAAAAACUCAUAGUGUCCAUAUCUCGUUCUGAAUGCAGUCUUCUCUAUAUCCUUUCUCUCUCACCUUUAGCUAAUGAUAUCUUGGACUAAGACCGAUCUUCGAGAAAUAGCUCUCACCUUGUAGCUGAUCGAACAAGUCAUCAAUCCUUGGCAAACGAUACUAGUUCUUUAUCAUUGCUUUGUUAGCGCUAUAUAAUCUAUUCACAUCCUCAUACUUAUAUCCUUAUUGUUCACAAAUAGCAUCGGAGCUCCCCAGGGUGAUGAACUAGAUCUAAUGAAACAUUUUUCCAACAACUCCUGAAGUUGCAUCAUAAGCUCCUUCAUCUCCAUCGAUGCUAAUCCGUAAGAUGCUUUCUCUAUAGGUGUGGUUUGGGGUAACAAGUAUAUCCUAAAAUCUACUUGUCUAUCAAGGGGAAAUCUAGGAAGAUCUUCAGGAAAGACUUCUGGAAAGUCGCACACCACGGGUAUCCUUCGCAUCUCAUUCUUCUCCUUCUUUUCAUCGAUCGCGAAUGCCAAGUAUGAUGUACAUCCUUUUGACAAAUACUUUCUUGCUUUCAUCAGGGAGAUGAUUCCAGAUUUUACUCUACGUUUGUCCCCAUACACCAUAAAUGAUUCUAUUUCAGGUGGUUUGGUCACUACAAUCUUCUUUCUACACUUGAUGUCGGCAUCAUUCACACUCAUCCAAUCCAUCCCAAACACAAUGUUGAAGCCGUUUAACUCAAUGGGCAACAAUUCCUCAUGGAAUUUAUUCCUAUUCAAGUCGAUGAUGAUGUUUCUAAUGCAAUCACUAAUAGGUAUGCAAUUACCACUAACAACUUCCACUACUAGAGCACUAUCUAGUUUAUCUACAGGCAGUGAUAGUAUUCUACAAAAUUUAUGUGACAUAAAGAGUAAUUAGCUCCAGAAUCAAACAGUAUAUUGGCAGACAAUCCAUUUACAAGAAAGGUACCUGAAGCGACAUCUACUUAAUCCCUUGUUUCUUCUAGAGUCAUCCGGAAUGCUCUUGCCUUUGGACUUGGCGGCACAUUAGGCUUUGCAGGCUCCUUCUUCUUUAGGCAGUCCUUCACAAUAUGCCCUUCUUCGUUACGACCAUAACAUACCCUUUUGAUGGAUGUACACUCAUCGGUGUAAUGAGAAGUCCUUCUUUACUUGAGACAUGUCAACUCCUCGCCACACUUCCCGGAGUGCUUCUUCUCGCACCUCUGGCACCAUUUUGCUUCUCCUCCACCUCCAAACUUUUUGGAACCAGAUUUUGAAAAUCUGCUAUUCCUGGUGAACAUUGAAGAUCCAUCAAACUUCCUUUUCUCUCCUACAUCUGCUCUUUCCAGACCCUUAUCUCGAAGUUAGGUCUCUACAUUCCUGGUUGAUUUGACGGUUGUCUUCAAAGCAGUUGACAUAUUUACCAUUGGACCAAAGUCUUCUGGUAGUCCGUUAGCACACCUCUCUAUCUUGGAGAGAUCGUGGGGAGCCAAUAGGGGAAUAGUUGUUGGGUUAUGAGCAAAACAUCGAUCCUAUGGUGCACAUGCAAACCCUAAAGCUUUGGAUCUAGGUUUUUCUAAUUAUACAUGCAAUAAUCAUCCAAAGUUUGCAAACCAUAAUACUAGACUACAAAAAUCAAAAUCAACAUCUAAUAAUCAAGUUAGAAUGUUACCUUUGAUUGUAGCUUGAUGAUCUUGAACCUUUGAGAACCUAGCACCUCAAAUGUGAUUCCUCUAAUGGAUCAUAAACACAAAAAAUAAUUGGAGAAUCUUAGAGAGAGAGAGAGAGAGAGAGAGGAGGCUCAAAAAUUGGCUGGCUAUCCUUCUUAGGGUUCAAGUGGUCGAUUUUGGUUACCCCAAGGGUUCCUUAUACAGCUGAGCAGUUAGGGUUUCAGUCAAAACCCUAAUCUAGUUGCUUAGUCCAUAAGCAGCCCAAAGGAUCCUUCCCGAAGGCCCUUUGGACGAUUUCUAUGUGGACCCCCACAUAGAAUUCGUCCAUUGCUUCCUUAUGGAUCCUAAACCCAACCUUGUAACUAUCUUAUAAUUACAAUAUCAGUCCCUUGAUUGAAUUAAUCUCUUUUGACCAUAAAAUUAAUUCUACAUUUAUUCUUGACCAGUAUUAAUUAAACAAUUUGAUUUUUGCUUUAAUAUAUUAUUCAUAUAAUAUAUUAAUAAACCAUAAUAACCUUUUUCUCCAUUAUUCAUCCAGUCAAGUUGCUUUGGUGAAGACAACCCAAAAUCCGAUUAGCAAUCGUAGCUCUCAAAAGCCUAAGUCAAACCAAAUCAUCGAGGGGCCCAAGAUAUCGCUUUUAGCCGCAUAGGAUAAAAGGAACAAAUAAACUUCGACUUAUAUGCUUGUACUAUUUACCCAUCAGAUCGUACACAACAAUGUGUUUUAUAACAUCAAGUUACUGAUGCGUUUACGCAUUAUCAAUGCACAACCAACUCGUAAAAAAUAACUCAUAUAUUUAGGUUUAAAGAUUAUAUGAUAUUAUAGUCUCCCAAUCACUCGUGAUUAAAUUCCAUGAAGCGAUUCAUGUGAGUGUGGGUUUAAUCCAAUACUCAAAUAAUAUUUCAUAAGCACUCAUGAACGUUGCAGCAUACUUUUGCUAUGUCUAAACACGUAGACAAUCUACAACCCAAUUCAUGACAGUCUUUUUUCAUACUUACUUCCAACGUAUGAUCGACUGUGGAUAGUUUAAAUAAUCUUAUUAUUUAGGAAGUCAAAACAUGCAAAGUGAAACAAUAGUAAAUAAUUAACACAAGACAAUAACUUUAAUUAUAAAUAAAAAUCAUUUAUUUAAUCAUCAAAUUUUAAUUACAAUUUAUCUAUUAAAAGUUUCUAAAAGCUAUCUAAUCACUAAAACUAAUAUCGUCCUUCAGCCCAAUGCUCCUAGCGUGCUGCAAGUGCUUAACCAUACUCAGUCCCUUCGUAAGGGGAUCUGCUGCGUUCUCCUCAGACAAUACCCUCUUUACUAUGAGGAGUCCCUCUUCUACCCGAUGUCUAAUGAAAUGAUAUUUUCUGUCGAUAUGCCUGGAUCUGCCAUGAUCCCUCGGUUCCUUGGUCAAGGCAACCGCAGCUUCGGUAUCGCAGAAAAUCUCCAUAGGCUCCUUUAUAGCGGGUACAACUCCAUGGUCUCCAAUGAAGUUCUUUAGCCAUAUUGCCUCCUAUGACGCUUUGCUCGUUGCUAUGUAUUCUGAUUCGCACAUUGAAUCAGCUACGAUCUCCCACUUGGAACUUUUCCAACUCACUACUCUUCCAUUCGGGGUAAAGACCCAGCGGACUGAGAGCAGAAAUUAUCUCGGUCGGUCUGAAAACUAGCGUCACUAUACCCUCGCACUCUCAAGUCAUCACUCCUACAGAGGAUAAGGAACCAUUCCUUAGUCCUUCGUAGGUACCUAAGAAUAUUCUUUACAGCGGUCCAAUGUGCUCUACCAGGGUUCCCUUGAUAUUUGCUGACCAUGCUCAAAGCGAAGGCCACAUUAGGGUGAGUACACAUCAUAAUAAUACAUGAUUAAGCCAACUAUGGAAGCAUAAGGUACUCGAAUCAUCUCUUCUAUCUUGGCUUCGGUAAAGCCAUACUCAAAUUGGUAUUGCUUUGGAUUGGUAACUCCUCUUUCUUGGAAGUUUCCAUGCUAAAAUGUUUUAACACUUUAUCCAAGUAAGUACUUUGACUAAGUCCUAUUAGUCUUUUACUCCUAUUUCUCAAUAUCCUUAUCCCAAGAAUAUAAUCAGUUUCUCUGAGGUCCUUCAUAGCGAAGCACUUCCCAAGCCAGGAGUUAACCUCUUGCAGGGUUGGGACGUCGUUUCCUAUGAGCAGUAUGUCAUCCACAUACAAUACAAGAAAGCUAAAUAUACUCCCACUGGCUUUGAAAUAUACAUAGGACUCAUCCUCGCUUCUUGAGAAACCAAACUCUUUGACAUUCUCAUCUUAUCAAAGAUUCCAUCUGCGAGAUGCUUGUUUCAAUCCAUUGAUGGAUUUCACAAGCUUACACACUCUAUUAGGGUGCUCUGCAUUGAAAAAACCCUCUGGCUGACUCAUGUAAACAUCUUCAGCUAACUUCCAUUAAGGAAAGCGAUUUUGACAUCCGUCUGCCAUAUUUCAUAAUCAUGAAACGCAGCUAUGGCUAGCAUAAACCUUAUAAAUUUAAUCUUCGCUACCGUUGAGAAGGUCUCAUCAUAGUCAACUCCGGGAGUUUGAGUAAAUCCCUUCGCAACCAAACACGCCUUAUAUGUGUGUACUUUCCCAUCCAUGUCGAUCUUCUUCUUGAAGAUCCACUUGCACCCAACCGUCUUACGACCUGACACAUUGUCAACCAAGUUCCAAACCUGAUUUUCAUACAUGGACUGAAUCUCAUUGUCCAUAGCCUCUUUCCAUUUUGCAGACUCCGGCCCCACCAUGGUUUCCUUGUAGUUGUUUGGUUCAUCCAAUUUUAUCAGUGUACUAUCACUAAUAAAUGUAUCACCCUCAGUAGUUAUUGUUGGAUAAGGUGUCUAAGUCCAUAACUAUUUCUGGUAUGUACUUGACCCGACCCGGCAUGGUCCAUUUGGGUUGCAUGGCACCAUGCAAUUGGAUAAACUAAAUGAGAGAAAUAACGCUUGGAGAUUAUUAAUAUAUUAUAAGUUCUAAUAUAUUAAUAAUAUUAUUUGAUUAGUUUGAUCAAGAAUUAAUUUAGAAUUAAUUAAGUGAUCAAAAGAUAACUAAUUAAAUAUAUGGGUUGAUUAAGUAAAUCAUCCAUAUCUUGUAUAGUGGGCUAAAAGGCUCCAUGGAUCAUCAAGUUGGGUUCCACCCAUAGGAUGCUCCAUGGAUGCUCCAUGGGAGUUACAAACCCAUGGGUCAUGGAAAUGAAGAGUCAUGACACAUUAGGGUUUAACCCUAGAUGUGUCAACACUAUAUAAGAAAGAUAAUCUCCACCAAAAUCGGUUGACACANUUUGAGGCAUCCCCACUUGAGGUGCUAGGCUCACAAGGUUUCAAGGAACACAAGCAACAACAAGGUAAGUUAUUCUAUCUAUACUUUAUGUUGAAAUUGUUCCCCAUGUAUGCUAGAUAGGAUAUAACCUUGGAAUUCAACUUUGCAUGACAAAUUAGACAAACAUAGAUCCAAGGUUAUUAGGGUUGCAUGUACACUUAGGAAGUGUUAGAAUGCUCAAAACCCAUCAGUGGUAUCAGAGCCUAGGCUUGUUUGUUUGUUAUUUGUGCUUAAAAGUUGAAGAAAGUCGAAAAUUCUGCUGUCUGACUGAUGGACUCGGCGAGUCCAUGGGGAGGACUCGUCGAGUUCAUGUGUAUCUUCAACCUACUCGGCGAGUAGGUUUAUGCACUCGGCGAGUAGGGUCGACAGAGUGCAGAAUUUCGACUUGAGUUGCUGGAAAUGGAUUAGAAUCAUUACCCUAAAAUGUUUUGGUACUUGAAAACUUAUUUUAGAAGGUGUAAUGUCUUUUCUAACUCAUUUACAACAACUAGUUAUCAAAAUUACAAAGAUUAAAUGUGAUUUUGAUUCUUGAAAGUGUUCAUAUUCAUAUUCUUGUUCUUAUGAUGUUUAGAUGAUCAUAGGAAUUAUUUGUAACCUAUGUGGUAGAUUAAUUCAUGAUCAUAAUGUGUUUUAAUGGAGUCCAUAACUUGUCCUCAAGUUAUGGAAAACCAAAAGUCUCUUGGAUUAAAAACCAUUAAAAGAACACAAGAGUUAGGAAAAAUGAAAAGUCCUCAUUUUAUUACUCUAUUAAACUCAUAAGUUACAAGAAAUGAAAAGUUUUGAAAGUUUACAAAACUUGCCCUCAAGUUUUGGAACAAGUAAAGUUAAGUUAAAACUUUAGUUCCAACCCCUAGAAUUUUAAAAGUUAAAAUUCAACCCUUAUACUUAUAUUAUUAUGAUUUAAUAAUUAUAUAUAUAUGUAUAAGAACAAAGUCGUCUUACCGCUAGUACGCCUCAUUCACGAAGCCGGUCUAUAAGGUGGGUAUAAGGUUGUUGCCUAUAAAAUGGUGACUUAAUGGGUGUCCACUCUCACCCACCGCUUGCUUGAUCGGUGGAGGGUCGUUAGCCGAACGGGUAAGACAAGGACUUAUUAAUUCUCAUUCAAAGUAUGAUGAAUAUUAUAAAGUAACUAAAUGUUUUAUUAAAUUCCCAAUCUUAGUUACUUUAGGAAAAAUGUGAAUAAGGUGCUAUUCCAUGAAAUUACACUUUACACUUUGAUUAAGUCGUUGGUGGAGCGUGUGUGGUUAACCGGCACACUAACUUGGACUUAACAAGGUAGGUAAAGGGUGACUUAGGGUUUAUUAUAGUAUCGAUGGAGCGUGUGUGGUUAACCGGCACAUCGAUUGAGUGAUAAACUUUAAGGGUACCAAGUGAUUUGCAUGGUUACUUCACACCUCGUUUUGUGAUCCUCGGUAUCCCAGUCACAAAACUUGGAGGGCACACUCGAGAUUGAAACAUGCCUUUGAAAAGUUCAUUGAAUCUCAAAGAAUCUAGGAAUUUCUAAGAACCAUUCAAAAACCUAAUACUAAAAUAUUGCGGUUUUCGUGGUGGAAAUUGGUGAAUCGUCAUUCACCUACCUUUCAAAUAUGAUAUAGCUUAGAUUACGGCAUACCUCUUCUAAGUUAUAUUAUAUUGUGAUUGGAUCCUAGCCUUAAUAUUACAUUUGGGUGUUUUAUUAAGGACUCUCUUAUAUCUAAACUAAUCUUGUCCUCUUUCCUUCAGAUGUCUUUCAACAAUGCUUCUGGCUCUAAUCCUAAUGGCUCCUUUACCCUUAUGAACUUGUGUGGGAAAGUCACCUUUGAUGGAUCCAACUUCAAUGAGUGGAUCAGAAACAUCAGGAUGAUUACCCGCUACGAGGACAAAGAAUAUGUCCUUGACAAGGAGCUUAAGGAGAUUGAUGAGUCCACUGCAACUCCUCAGGAGAUCGCUGAAUUUCGGGCACAUGAAAGGGAUGCUACGAAAGUGGCUUGCAUCAUGAUGGCCACGAUGACAGCGGAACUCCAAAAGUCUUAUGAGGAUUUCUACCCUUAUGACAUGCACCAAGAUUUGAUGGAAAGAUACCAUCAAAGUGCAAGACAAGAGAGGUAUGAAAUCAUCUGCUCCAUGAUAACAACCAUGAUGAAGGACGGGGAAUCCGUCACGAGCCACAUGCAGAAAAUGCAAAGGUAUGUGGAUCGUUUGCUGAAGCUUAAUGUGAACUUCCCGGAGGAUCUUGCAAUAGAUAUUAUUUUGCAUUCCUUACCAUCGUGCUAUGAUCAAUUCCGCAUGACAUAUCACAUGAACAAGGAAGAAGUCACCCUCAGCAAACUUCAGGGACUUCUCAAGACCGCAGAAACAGGUCUUAAGGGGAAGUCGGUUGCUAUCACUCCUACUCAAAACUCUACUCCGGUUUUGGCAAUCGGGAAAAGUCGAGGGAGGAAGAGAAAGAGCUCUUCUAAGGGUACCAAGGCUCGGACCCUUGAUGGCUCUUCUUCAAGUGGAACCAAGAAAGGUUUCGUUACUCCUUCUUCUGACCCAAAAGAGGCUGAAUGCUUCUAUUGCCAUGAAAAAGCUCAUUGGAAGCGGAACUGCCCAAAAUACCAGCAAGAUGUGAAGGAUGGGAAAGUUAAACCCAACCAUGCAGGUAUUUACACUAUCAUUUCUAAUAACUCACCCCAUUCUAAUUCUUGGGUCCUUGAUACCGGGUGUGGUAUUCACAUUUGUUGUGACUUGCAGGGACUAAGAAGAAGUGAGGAUGUGGAGCAAGGAAGGAUAAACUUGAUCAUGGGGAAUAGGAAAGCUAUACCUGUUACCAAGAUUGGAGUUUAUACUUUAUCGCUAAGUAGUGGGUUUAGUUUAGAUUUGAAUAAGUGUUGUUAUUCGCCAGGAAUGGCAAGAAAUAUUAUUUCCUUUCAUGCUUUGUACAAACAAGGGUUUACCUUUUCAUUUAAUAAUGAAGUUGGUUCUAUAGAUGUUUUCUAUAAUAAUGUCUUUUAUUUUAAAGCAUUACCUUGUGAUGGUGUGUAUGAAGCUGUAUCUGUUGUAGAUAACUUGGGAAAUAAUGUUUUGUGUAUUGAUUCUACUAAUAAUAACUUGGAUAAAGCAUCUUUAUGGCAUUGUCGUCUUGGACAUAUAAGCAAGAAACGCAUAGGCCAACUCCAAAAGGAUGGAGUCUUGGAGUCGUUUGACCUAAAGUCAGAUGAUAGUUGCGAAUCAUGCUUACUUGGAAAAAUGACAAAGUCACCCUUCACAGGUUCGUGUGAGAGGGGUGAAGGUUUGUUGGACCUUAUACACACGGAUGUGUGUGGACCAUUCAAACAUGCCACAAGGGAUGCUAAUCGUUAUUAUUUGACUUUUACUGAUGAUUAUAGUAGAUAUGGAUAUGUCUACUUGAUCAAGCAUAAGUCAGAGACUUUCGAGAGGUUUAAGGAAUUUAAACAGGAAGUCGAGAAUCAAUUGGGCAGGAACAUUAAGAUGCUUCGAUCCGAUCGUGGUGGUGAGUAUCUUAGUUCAGAGUUCCUCGACUAUCUAAGGGAAUGUGGGAUAGUCUCACAAUUGACACCUCCCAGGACACCACAGUUGAAUGGUGUGGCUGAGAGGCGUAAUCGAACCUUGUUAGAUAUGGUUCGUUCCAUGAUGAGUCGAGCUACGCUACCAAUCUCAUUCUGGGGGUAUGCCUUAGAGACUGCCGCCCAUAUUCUUAAUCUAGUCCCUACAAAGAAAGUUGCCAAAACUCCUCACGAGAUGUGGACUGGUAAAGUACCUAAACUAGACCACAUCAAGAUUUGGGGUUGCGAGGCUUUCGUGAGACGCGAGACUCAUGAUAAGCUCGAACCUCGAAGCGAGAGGUGUAUUUUCAUCGGUUACCCACAGCGAUCCUUUGGUUACCUCUUCUACAGACCUAGUGACAAUGUGGUCUUUGUAGCAAGAAGAGGAGUCUUUCGAGAAAGAGAGUUUAUAAGCCAAGGAGACAGUGGGAGGCAAAUUGAUCUUGAAGAAAUUCAAGAAUCAAGCGGUGAAGGAACUUCAAACUCUAGCCCUCAACUUGAGGAGGAAACUCCUGUUGAGCCAAUUGACAAAUCUGUACCUCUGAGACGUUCCACGAGAGUUAGGAGUGCACCUGAGCAUUACUAUGGAUUCCAUAUUACUGCAGAAGGUGAGACACUUAUUAGUGAUGAGACACUAGUAAGUCAAGAUGACCCUAACAGCUACGAGGAAGCCAUGGCAGGCCCCGAGUCUGCUAAAUGGAAAGAGGCUAUGGAUAGCGAGAUACAAUCCAUGUAUGACAAUCAAGUUUGGAACUUGGUUGAAAAUGUACCAGGUCGUAAGACAGUAGGGUGCAAAUGGGUCUUCAAGAAGAAGACCGACAUGGAUGGUAAAGUACACACUUAUAAGGCUAGACUGGUUGCAAAGGGCUUCUCUCAAAUUCCUGGAGUGGAUUAUGAUGAGACCUUUUCUCCGGUAGCCAAGAUUAAGUCUAUUCGGGUUCUGUUAGCCAUAGCUGCAUUUCAUGACUAUGAAAUAUGGCAGAUGGAUGUCAAAACCGCUUUCCUUAAUGGAAAGUUGGCUGAAGAUGUUUACAUGAGUCAGCCAGAGGGUUUUGUCAGCAACGAGUACCCUAAUAGAGUGUGUAAGCUUGAGAAAUCCAUUUAUGGAUUGAAGCAAGCACCUCGCAGAUGGAAUCUUUGCUUUGAUGAAAAGGUCAAGGAAUUUGGCUUUUCUAGGAGUGAAGAUGAAUCUUGUGUGUAUGUCAAGGCUAGUGGGAGUAUAGUUAGCUUUUUGGUAUUGUAUGUGGAUGACAUACUACUCAUAGGAAACGACAUUCCAACCCUGCAGGAAGUAAAGUCCUGGCUUGGGAAGUGUUUCGCUAUGAAGGACCUUGGUGAAGCUGCCUAUAUUUUAGGGAUAAGGAUCUUGAGAGAUCGGAGUAAAAGACUAAUUGGACUUAGUCAGAGUACCUACUUGGAUAAGGUGCUGAAGAGAUUCAGCAUGCAGGAUUCCAAGAAAGGAGAGUUACCCAUCCAGAGUAACACCAGGUUGAGUAAGACACAAAGCCCUAGCACUGAGGCUGAGAUAGCAGAAAUGAGUCGAACACCUUACGCUUCGGCUGUAGGAUCGAUCAUGUAUGCUAUGACGUGUACUCGACCCGAUGUAGCUUUUGCCUUGAGCAUGGUUAGCAGGUAUCAGGCGAACCCUGGCAAGGCACACUGGACUGCGGUAAAGAAUAUCCUCAAGUACCUACGGAGGACUAAGGACUGGGUCCUUACCCUCGGUGGGAGUGAUGACUUGAGAGUUGUAGGGUAUAGUGAUGCUAGCUUCCAGACUGAUAGGGAUAAUUUCCGCUCUCAGUCGGGCUGGGUCUUUACCCUAAAUGGAGGAGCAAUUUCUUGGAAGAGUUCCAAGCAAGAGACAGUGGCAGAUUCUACUUGUGAAUCAGAGUAUAUUGCAGCUAGCGAAGCGGCAAAGGAGGCGUUAUGGCUGAGGAACUUCAUUGGAGACCUUGGAGUUGUACCAGCUAUUAAAGAGCCGAUGGAAAUUUUCU
rnacentral:lncRNA from 1 species